rnacentral:rRNA from 1 species
AGUGAACGCUGGCGGUGGGCCUAACACAUGCAAGUCGAACGGCAGCACAGGAGAGCUUGCUCUCUGGGUGGCGAGUGGCGGACGGGUGAGGAAUACAUCGGAAUCUACCUUUUCGUGGGGGAUAACGUAGGGAAACUUACGCUAAUACCGCAUACGACCUACGGGUGAAAGUGGGGGACCGCAAGGCCUCACGCGAUUAGAUGAGCCGAUGUCCGAUUAGCUAGUUGGCGGGGUAAUGGCCCACCAAGGCGACGAUCGGAAGCUGGUCUGAGAGGAUGAUCAGCCACACUGGAACUGAGACACGGUCCAGACUCCUACGGGAGGCAGCAGUGGGGAAUAUUGGACAAUGGGCGCAAGCCUGAUCCAGCCAUACCGCGUGGGUGAAGAAGGCCUUCGGGUUGUAAAGCCCUUUUGUUGGGAAAGAAAUCCUGUCGAUUAAUACUCGGUGGGGAUGACGGUGCCCAAAGAAUAAGCACCGGCUAACUUCGUGCCAGCAGCCGCGGUAACAC